rnacentral:rRNA from 1 species
AGUGAACGCUGGCGGUAGGCCUAACACAUGCAAGUCGAACGGCAGCACAGUAAGAGCUUGCUCUUACGGGUGGCGGGUGGCGGACGGGUGAGGAAUACAUCGGACUCUACUUUUUCGUGGGGGAUAACGUAGGGAAACUUACGCUAAUACCGCAUACGACCUACGGGUGAAAGCAGGGGAUCUUCGGACCUUGCGCGAUUGAAUGAGCCGAUGUCGGAUUAGCUAGUUGGCGGGGUAAAGGCCCACCAAGGCGACGAUCCGUAGCUGGUCUGAGAGGAUGAUCAGCCACACUGGAACUGAGACACGGUCCAGACUCCUACGGGAGGCAGCAGUGGGGAAUAUUGGACAAUGGGCGCAAGCCUGAUCCAGCCAUACCGCGUGGGUGAAGAAGGCCUUCGGGUUGUAAAGCCCUUUUGUUGGGAAAGAAAAGCAGCAGGUUAAUACCCCGCUGUUCUGACGGUACCCAAAGAAUAAGCACCGGCUAACUUCGUG